rnacentral:rRNA from 1 species
GACGAACGCUGGCGGCGUGCUUAACACAUGCAAGUCGAACGGAAAGGCCCUGCUUUUGUGGGGUGCUCGAGUGGCGAACGGGUGAGUAACACGUGAGUAACCUGCCCUUGACUUUGGGAUAACUUCAGGAAACUGGGGCUAAUACCGGAUAUGAGCUCCUGCUGCAUGGUGGGGGUUGGAAAGUUUCGGCGGUUGGGGAUGGACUCGCGGCUUAUCAGCUUGUUGGUGUGGUAGUGGCUUACCAAGGCUUUGACGGGUAGCCGGCCUGAGAGGGUGACCGGCGACAUUGGGACUGAGAUACGGACCAGACGCCUACGGGAGGCAGAAGGGGGGAAUAUUGCACAAUGGGCGGAAGCCUGAUGCAGCAACGCCGCGUGCGGGAUGACGGCCUUCGGGUUGUAAACAGCUUUCGCAUGUGACGAAGAGUGAGUGACGGUAAUGGGUAAAGAAGCACCGGCUAACUACGUG